rnacentral:SRP_RNA from 1 species
GCCAGGCGUGGUGGCUCAUGCCUGUAAUCCCAGCACUUUGGGAGGCUGAGGUGGGUGGAUCACCUGAGGUCAGGAGUUCGAGACCAGCCUGGCCAACAUGGUGAAACCCCAUCUCUA